rnacentral:rRNA from 1 species
UACGAAGGGGGCUAGCGUUGUUCGGAAUUACUGGGCGUAAAGCGUGCGCAGGCGGCUGCUCAAGUCAGGGGUGAAAGCCCAGAGCUCAACUCUGGAAUUGCCUUUGAGACUGAGUGGCUUGAGUACGGGAGAGGUGAGUGGAAUUCCCAGUGUAGAGGUGAAAUUCGUAGAUAUUGGGAAGAACACCGGUGGCGAAGGCGGCUCACUGGCCCGUAACUGACGCUCAUGCACGACAGCGUGGGGAUCAACAGG